GACGAACGCUGGCGGCGUGCCUAAUACAUGCAAGUCGAGCGCAGGAAGCCGUCUGAACCCUUCGGGGGGACGACGGUGGAAUGAGCGGCGGACGGGUGAGUAACACGUAAAGAACCUGCCCAUAGGUCUGGGAUAACCACGGGAAGUCGGGGCUAAUACCGGAUGUGUCAUCGGACCGCAUGGUCCGAUGAUGAAAGGCGCUCCGGCGUCGCCCAUGGAUGGCUUUGCGGUGCAUUAGCUAGUUGGUGAGGUAACGGCCCACCAAGGCGACGAUGCAUAGCCGACCUGAGAGGGUGAUCGGCCACACUGGGACUGAGACACGGCCCAGACUCCUACGGGAGGCAGCAGUAGGGAAUCUUCCACAAUGGACGAAAGUCUGAUGGAGCAACGCCGCGUGAACGAUGAAGGCUUUCGGGUCGUAAAGUUCUGUUGUAAGGGAAGAACAAGUGCCGCAGGCAAUGGCGGCACCUUGACGGUACCUUGCGAGAAAGCCACGGCUAACUACGUGCCAGCCGCCGCGGUAA
rnacentral:rRNA from 1 species